CUUCUUUUUUCUCUCUUCCUUCUUUUCUUCUUUUCUUUUUCACGUCGUCCCAAGGUCGUCGACGGUCUCUUUUAUUCAUGUUGGAUUGUUAUUUGCCGAGCUCCUUUUCGACUUUUACGCCGUUCGAAGAUACCUGGUUGUCAUUUUCCUGUUAAUGGCUGCGGGCUUGCUUGGGGCCAAUCGGGCCUGGGGUCCCUCCUAGGGCUUGAGUUCGGGGAUCCGAG
rnacentral:lncRNA from 1 species